rnacentral:tRNA from 1 species
GAAAUGUGUUAGAUAAAAGUGAAAGCCGCUAACUUAUCACUAUAGCGGUUAAAGUCCGUUUACAUUUCU